AUGGUGAUCAAACUCAGCGCCGGCGCCUUCGCGGUGUCUGUCUGCCUGUCACUCGCCUUCUUCGUCGGGCACGGGCAGCCUGUGCUGGCCGACGGUGGCGGUGGCAAGAAGCACGAUGUUGCUGACACGGUUAAGAAAGAAGUGGCCAUUGCCAUGAAGAAAAACCCGCGCAUCGGCGCCGCCCUCGUCCGGUUGCUCUUUCACGACUGCUGGGUCCACGGCUGCGAUGGAUCGGUGCUCUUAGACAAGACCCCGGACGGCGGCAGCACGGAGAAGGACGCGAUGAACAAUAUCGGCCUGGAGGGCUUCGACCUGAUCGACAGGAUCAAGGACAAGCUCGGCGAGAGCGUCUCCUGCGCCGACAUCGUCGUGCUGGCCGCCCGGGACGCGACCUCCAUCCUCAGCCGCGGCAACAUCGCCUACAACGUCACGACGGGGCGGAAGGACGGCGUCAGGUCGUCCGCCGCGGCCGCCGACGCCGUCCUCCCUCCCUCCACGUUCAACUUCACGCAACUCAAGGCCAACUUCGCCGCCAGGAACUUCACCCAGACGGAGCUCGUCGUCCUCUCCGGCGCGCACGCCGUCGGCGUCGCCCACCUCUCGUCGUUCCGCGACCGCCUCGACAACGCCACCGCCACCCCGAUCAGCGUCAGGUACCAGAAUGCGCUCCGCGACCAUGUUGAGGACAAGACGACGGCGGCGGUGCCCGACCCGACGGAGAUGAACAACAUCCGCGACAUGGAGUUCGCCUUCCGGAACGCCUCCGGGUACAACGCCACUGGGGUCGACACGUCCAGGGCGGCGAGGGGGGUCCUGGACAACAGCUACUACCACGCCAACCUCCAGAACAAGGUGCUCUUCAGGUCCGACUGGGAGCUGCGCAACGACACCACGGGCGCCGCCGGGAGGGACAUGAGGGAGUUUAGGGACGACGCUGCCGGGUGGUACGUGCUAUUCGGCAAGGCCAUGGCCAAGCUCAGCGAGAUCCCCGCCGAGGGCAGCCGUUUCGAGAUCAGGAAGAACUGCAGAACCACCAACUGA
rnacentral:rRNA from 1 species